CUACGGGGGGCAGCAGUGGGGGAUAUUGCACAAUGGACGAAAGCCUGAUGCAGCAACGCCGCGUGAAGGAAGACGGUUUUCGGAUUGUAAACUUCUAUCAGCUGGGAAGAAAAUGACGGUACCAGACUAAGAAGCCCCGGCUAACUAUGUGCCAGCAGCCGCGGUAAUACAUAGGGGGCAAGCGUUAUCCGGAAUUACUGGGUGUAAAGGGUACGUAGGCGGCUGAUCAAGUCAGAUGUGAAAGCCCGGAGCUCAACUCCGGGAUUGCAUUUGAAACUGGUCGGCUAGAGUGCAGGAGAGGUAAGUGGAAUUCCUAGUGUAGCGGUGAAAUGCGUAGAUAUUAGGAAGAACACCAGUGGCGAAGGCGGCUUACUGGACUGUAACUGACGCUGAGGUACGAAAGCGUGGGGAGCGAACAGGAUUAGAUACCCUUGUAGUC
rnacentral:rRNA from 1 species